rnacentral:rRNA from 1 species
GACGUAGGGACCAAGCGUUGUUCGGAUUUACUGGGCGUAAAGGGCGCGUAGGCGGCGUGUUAAGUCACUUGUGAAAUCUCUGAGCUUAACUCAGAACGGUCAAGUGAUACUGAUGUGCUAGAGUGCAGAAGGGGCAACCGGAAUUCUUGGUGUAGCGGUGAAAUGCGUAGAUAUCAAGAGGAACACCUGAGGUGAAGACGGGUUGCUGGGCUGACACUGACGCUGAGGCGCGAAAGCUAGGGUAGCAAACGGG